rnacentral:rRNA from 1 species
CCUACGGGUGGCAGCAGUGAGGAAUAUUGGUCAAUGGCCGGGAGGCUGAACCAGCCAAGUCGCGUGAGGGAAGACGGCCCUACGGGUUGUAAACCUCUUUUGUCAGGGAGCAAGGUGCAGGUCGGGACCUGCUGUGAGAGUACCUGAAGAAAAAGCAUCGGCUAACUCCGUGCCAGCAGCCGCGGUAAUACGGAGGUUGCGAGCGUUAUCCGGAUUUAUUGGGUUUAAAGGGAGCGUAGGCCACAUGUCAAGCGUGCUGUGAAAUGUCCGGGCUCAACCCGGGCAUUGCAGCGCGAACUGGCGUGCGUGAGUGCGCGUGAGGCAGGCGGAAUUCGUGGUGUAGCGGUGAAAUGCUUAGAUAUGAGGAAGAACCCCGAUUGCGAAGGCAGCUUGCUGCAGCGGAACUGACGCUGAUGCUCGAAAGCGCGGGUAUCGAACAGGAUUAGAUACCCGGGUAGUC